CCCUUAGAUGUUCUGGGCCGCACGCGCGCUACACUGAUGCAUUCAACGAGUUUCUUCCUGGUCCGAGAGGAAUGGGUAACCUUUUGAAAGUGCAUCGUGAUAGGGAUAGACUAUUGCAAUUAUUGGUCUUCAACGAGGAAUUCCUAGUAGACGUAGUUCAUCAGACUGCAUCGAUUACGUCCCUGCCCUUUGUACACACCGCCCGUCGCUCCUACCGAUUGAGUGGCCCGGUGAGGCUUUGGGAUCUGAGCGGAAAGAGCGUUUCGCUGUUUCUGCUCGGAAAACUCAGUCGAACCUUAUCAUUUAGAGGAAGGAGAAGUCGUAACA
rnacentral:rRNA from 1 species